GAAGUCAAUUCGCUAGCAAAUAAAGGAUACACCUGUUCCCAUGUCGAACACAGAAGUUAAGCUUCUUAGCGCCGAGAGUAGUUGGGGGAUCGCUCCCUGCGAGGGUAGGACGUUGCCAUGC
rnacentral:rRNA from 1 species